UAGGUGGAACUGUCACAUCAGGCAAAGUGAAGUUAGACAAAACUGUCACAUCAGACAGAGAGCAAGAACCAUAGUUCAGACUAGGAUCCAAAUCAAGGGACUUUGUGAAACUGUAGAUCACAUUGGAUUGGCAACAAUCCCAAAUUACCAAAGACUGAAAAUCAUCGGCAGAAAGUGGAGAGCAACUCGAUCCACUCUGAGUAGUAAAGGUAACAUUGCCAUGCCAACAAUCAAUGCAAUGGAGUGUAGAAGUUCUGAAAUCACUGACAAGUGAACCCGGAGGAAAACAUGAACUGCUUUCAUGAUUGUUUGUAACUGUACACUCUUGGAACAAUGAGGGCUCUCUGGCCUUGGUAUCAUGACCAGUUACUUCACUGAUAUUAAAUACUACAUCAUCUUUAUUUGUUUCAUUUGCAUCUGUUAUGUGAUCAAUAAGCACAUAAUCUCCAUAAGUUUUAUAACUGCACCAACAUAAGCUUCAUAUCCAUAUUCCUCAUUACAUUGUUUCACAUCACCUUGGUCACUUUCAUACAUCAGACUGUCACUAGCUGCAUACUCAACCUUUUCAUUCCAUCCUUUCAUGUCAGCACUGUUUGUUACAUUUACCUCAUCAUCACUAGUCAUGUAUCCAUCAUCAGCAUUACAUUGUUUCACAUCAACUAUGUUAGAGUCAUGACCCCCACCAUCACUACUCUCGUAUCCAUCAUCUACAUUGCAUGGUUUCAUUUCACCUUUGUUAGUUUCAAGCACCUCACCAUCACUAGUCGCAUCUCUUCGGUCUUUAUUCCGAGACGUACAAUCGUUACUUUUAUAUUCAUUCAUCUCACUAUCACUUGCCUCAUAUUCAUCAUCAUCUUUGUGUAUGUAAGUGUUUACUGGUGUGACCGUGAUCCCUAAUGUAACAUGAUUAUCAAUUCCAUGACUAACAUCCAUUGUACUCUCAUUUUUCUCACAUUCCCGAUCAUUUAAAAUGUAAUUCGUAAUUGAAUAUAUGCCAGCGAGAUCAACAUCACGAAAACAUGGCGGAGGUGCUUGAGAUGACGAACCAUAGCAGAAAGUUGCACUAUCACCAAACAUGAUCAACCGCUUGGAGGGGCGAACAGAAAUAUCGUUCUGCUCCAUGAACGGAGCCCCAGCAACAAUACCACAAGAACCACUCAAGUAGCCAUCCUGGACUACCACACCGUCAAACCAAAGCUCACAUCCUGCAUAAAAUAAUGUUAACUGGGUUAAACUGACCACCUAGGUCUGAUCUACUAGACUAAGCAUGGACACAUCAUCAACGAAACAAUCACCAAAACCAAAAUCAUUAACAAGAAUCUCAACACCAAUAUCAUCUGCUACAGAUUCAGUGAUUAAAUUGAGCUGUGAUCCGCUCUUUAAUUCAACAUUAAUCCGCGAAUUAUCAAUCGUGCGGGCACAAAAACAAGGUUUAUUCAACAUCUGCCUGCUAGCAGAAAACUGGCGCCACCCUGGUUGCGACGACCUGCUAGCCGAACGCCAGCUCGAUGCAUCGUGAACGGCUGCCGCGGCGAUCAACGCGACCCUGGCCAUGGUAUAUGUGGGACUACACAAAUUUAUAUUCGGGAAGAAACCCAACCUCUCGUCUACCACCGAUAGAACACGGCGUGCCUAACCCCAAAUUAUAGGGUUAAAUUAACUUGGGAAGGCUUAUUUAUACUCGAUGGGUGGAUAAAUCCAGCUGCCACCACGCCAUGGGUUAAUAAGGGCCAACUUAAUGUAAAAGAAGUAAAUAAACUAGACAACUUUGAAGUUACGUGUUACUGUCUUUAAUAACCAUGGCCAAGAGACCAACACAAGGUGGCGCGCUUACACUUAGCGCAAGUAACAUCGAAUCAUCACUAUAAUACUAAAACAACAUACUGGCGGUGGAUUCCCGUGUCGUAGCAACCCUUGUCCUUGUUUGCUAAUCUUCAGUGCAGCGUCUCGCGGCUCUCUUCGUGCUGCCUUGGUUGCGUUUAGCUCAUCAGGCGCAGUUCCGUUAGGAGGCCAAGGCCCGCGAUACCACGAGUAUCAGAUCGUCAGGUCUCGAGAUUUCUUCCUUGACGAAUUGAAGGUCGCUUUUUGCACUCGUCCAUCACUUCCUGUCGCUUCCUUGGAAGAUUUUCAUCUGAGGAGACGAGUCUCUCUCAGCUCUCAUGUAGUCUACAAAUGUAGACCCACAUCUGCAAUGUGUGUAUCACAGCUGAUUCAACGAGUCUGCAUAGCAGACUAGGUCUACUGAGGCUGCAAAUGGCUCGCUUCGCUCGCACUUUCAGGCUGGUUUGCUUUGCAAACCAGCAGAUCCCACCUCACAAGCCAUUCAGAGUCUGCAUAGCAGACUAGCUCUCAUGGUGGAGGCCUAUGCAUCCUCAUCUCCCUGUUCCCUUGCUUUUCUUGUUCUAGACAUGCCUCCCCACGUUUUUGAAUCCGUGCUGGGCUAGCAUAGUUAAAGGGAUGUAUCCCAGUUAUUGAAAUAAAUCUUGAAAAUACUUCGUUGAUUUUCUUAUUUAAGAGAUAACUGUGGAUACAUCCCUUUAAACCCUCCCACCAGCCCCUCGCCAUGCAUGGCAACACGUCUCCUUGGUUCACACUCGGAAGAGGAAAUGACGUGGCCGUGAUUCAUCAACUGGGCGUAAUGCUCGGGUCAGCGAGAUGGGUCACCGCGCAAGGAAAUUUGUGUGUGUUGUCUUCAUUUAUCUGAAUGAAUAAGCAUAGUGUAAAGGAAUGUAUCCAGUUAUCUCCUAAAUAAGAAAUCAAUGUAUUUUCAUGUUUUCUCUCAUUUUUUUGCUUUUUCACAUAUUCAGACUCCAGAAGGGGGGGGGGGGGCACUCACAUUUAUUGGUAGUAUGGGGAUGUGCCGCUUUGAUAACCCCCUUUCAGACCUAAUUUUUUGUUCUCUAGAUACUCCAAAUGACAAAAAUUUCGUUCAGAAGCCGCCCCGCCCUGCUUGCAAGUCCCCCGUUUCCGAAACAUCUGAGUUCUCUUGCCCAGCCAAAAUUGUCCAGCGCGAGAGCUGCACGUACAGCUUUCCAUGCACCACUAUCGCCCAUUUAUACAUGCACAGCGCUAGCGUGCACCUACCUUCUAUACCAUAAUCAAGUUCCGUAGACCCUGCUUUUCACACUGCCCACAUAUAUUUAGUUCCCCCGUAUUGAACCGUUGUGGUCAGUUCUUUAGACCCCCAUUUCAGGGUUUCAUAAGGCACACCCCCAUCAAAAAUAAUUUGAGUGCCCCUCCCCACUGGCAUUUAGACAUCCCAUCUCAUACUUUUUUUGGUCGAAAAAUGAAGCGGCCAACAGCAAAAAAGAAAUUGAAUAUGAUUUAUAUAUUCUUAUGCAUUUUUUUAAUUAAGCCAUUUUACUUUGAUAAGCUUUAGGUCUGGAUUGCAGCCUGUAAUUGUCUUUUAAUGCCCUUGUUAUUUUGGAAAACUAUGAUAUAUGAGCCUGUCUGUACAUGUACAUGAUUUGGUUAGCCAGCAGGUAAUGAGUACUAACCUCCACAAAGCACUGGUUUGACAAAUCCAUAAUAUUCUAUCCAAUAUUACUAUCCGAUUGGAAGGUCUUGACUUUGACAUGGCAGAAUAUCUUAUUUUUAUAAUGUUUGAGAAAUGAAUAGAAAACCCCUGGAUGAAUUUUUUUUUCUCUCUGGGAAAAACAAAUUGUAGUCAUUUUCCGUAAUCAUCGAGGGACACGUUCUUGUCACCGCUGUGAUGAUAUCUUAAUAACUACAGAUAACUUUGCCUGAGUUGAAUAUAUUAGUACAAAAUAGAUUUGACGUAAAACUUGAACCUGGAAGAGUAAUCACUUUCAGCAGCUUCAAAGCUAUCCCAGGAUGAAAACAUUCUGUGUAUCAGUGCGAGGUGCCAUGGUGAGGUAAAAUAAUGGGGAAAAAAAACAUUUGCCGCAGUGGCAACUCCCAUUUUCAGCGUCAAAUCUGUGUUUCAGUGGCAAAUCUAAAAACAGCGUCAAGUUUGCAUUUCAUGAAACAUUGACACAGAAAGUCAAAAGUUUUAUGAAACGAGGCCCCUGAUCUAUUAUGCUUUUAGUUGGGAGAAUAUUUGACUAUAUGAUGAAAGUUUACCUGUAUAUUGUAAUCCAAUUUUUUUUCUUUGGCAUACUUCCUUUAAUAUUUUUCUUGAUUUUUUUUGGUAAAUUUGCAUAACAUUGUUUGGUGAUAUAUCAUUUGUUAGUCAGAUAUAUCUCUCAGAGAGUUGCUUGUUUUAUUUCUUUUCCAGGUAAUUACACAGUGAAAGAAUUGGAAAGAAGAUGUUGUGAGUGGGAGAUGGCUAAGAAUGCAGCAGAUGAGUUAAACCACUGUGCAAGUGGUUCUUCCUCUACAUUUAAAUCUGCAGUUUUGAUUGACAAUAAUCAAGUCAAAGAUUGUAAUAACUGUGCUUACAAUGACUGUACAUCUGACUGCUGUUCAUGCUAAAACUUCAUUGAACAAAGUGUAAUACGAUGAAUAAAGCAUGGGGUGAUAAUCUAAUUGGAGCUUUCAUCAGUAGCGUGAGUGAUAUCAAGAUGUGUAUCUCAAAUCUGUAAGUUUGUUUUCAUUGAAAACUCUUUGAAACACAGGCUAAGAAUUCAGUGGGUUUUUUUUGUUUUUUUUUGGGGGGGGUCAAUUUUCAAAAAACUUAUUGAUUUCUAUGGGAGAUGAUUAUAUUUCAAUUCAAGUUACAAUAGGCAGGGGUGUGAGUGGUCACAAAUGAAAGAUCUGAAAAAAGCUGAAGAGUGUAGAAAAAGUCUGAAAUGGAAAGAGCUCUCAGACUUUUUGUACAGAGGAAAGCCAAAAAUAAGCAAAAAAUCUUAACUCUCACGCCCCUGAAUAGAGUACCGAAGCAUUGACUUCAGUUGUCAUGGCUGCCUGGUUCUACACAAAUGAACCCGCUGAAUGAAAGCGUGCAUUUCUCAUAGGAGAAAAUGGCGUCACACUUCGGUACUCUAUACAGGUCACUGUCUGGUGUAUUUUCAUACUAUACUGUCUUAUUGUUAUUAUUAUUAGUAGUAAUUAUGGUAGAUUCUCAUCAGUUGUUAUUAUCAUUAUUUUUUUUUCUUGUGCAUAGCAGAGCGAGACUAUAGGCGCCGCUUUUCCGACGUCUGCGGCGUCAACAUCAAAUCUUAACCGAAGGUUAUUUGAAAUGUCAUUAUAACUUAAAAAGUAUAUGGACCUAGUUAAUUAAACUAGGACAUAAGGGUAAUUGAGUAUUACUAAACAUCCUGCUUGAGUUUCGGUCACAUGACCAAGGUCAUUUAGGGUCAAUGAACUUAGACCAUUUUGGGGGAAUCAAUAUCGAAAUCUUAAGCAAGGUUAAGUUUUUGAAAUGUCAUCAUAACUUAGAAAGUAUAUGGACCUAGUUAAUUAAACUAGGACAUAAGGGUAAUUAAGUAUUACUAAACAUCCUGCUUGAGUUUCGGUCACAUGACCAAGGUCAAAGGUCAUUAAGGGUAAUGAACUUAGACCAUUUUGGGGGAAUCAAUAUCGAAAUCUUAACCAAGGUUAAGUUUUGAAAUGUUGUCAUAACUUAAAAAGUAUUUGGAUAUAGUUCAUGAAACUUAGACAGAAUGGUAAUAGUGUAUCCUUGCAGGCCCUGCCUGAGUUUCACGUCACUUGACCAAGGUAAAAGGUCAUUUAGGGUCAACAAACUUUGACCAUGUUGGAGGUAUUUGUGGAAUUGUCAUCAAAACUUUAAAAGUUUAUGGAACUAGUUUAUGAAAUUUGGAAAUAAGAGUAACCAUGUAUCCCUGAAUAUCUUUCCUGCAUUUCAGGUCACCUGACCAAGAUCAAAUGACCACAAUCAAUCGUCAUUUAAGGUCAAUGAACUUUGGGGGUAUUUGUUGAAUUGGCAUCACAACUUAGAGAGUUUAUGGAUCUACACAUGUAGUUCAUGAAACAUAGACAUAAGGGUUAUCACGUAUGGUUUGCACACGUCUUUCGUUACAUGAUUAUGGUCAAAGGUCAUGUUGGGUCAAUGGACAUAGUAUUUUAUUGUCAUAUGAAUUGUGAGUGUUUUCUUUUGUGAAUAAUUAUUCCAUAGCUGUUUUCAAAGUCUGCACUGUUGCUAAAUUGAAUUUUGUAAUGCAGGCGAGACUGCCAGAGGCGUUCCACUUGUUAUGAAAUAUUCAGAUUGUUAUCAAUAUUACUACUGCUACUACUAUUAUUAUUAUUAUACCCCGCUUUGAAGGGGUAUAUACAUGUACUGUAGGAAUCAGCGCAGGUCGGUCAGUCCGUUGCAAAUCUUGGGCAUCGAACUACUUCCUCAGUUUUUAAUCAAUUUUCAUGAAAUUUUGAACACAUACAUGUAUUGGUGUUGGAGUGAAGAUGUGCAAGACACACUUUUCGCAUGUUUCGGAAAUGGUGUUGCCAUGGUAACGACUUAUGACAAAAAUUGGGUAAAUAACUUUCAACCAAUUCUCAUGAAAUUUGGCUCACACAUUACUUUCAAGGUAAAAUAUAAUCAGUACAUAUUUUUGCAUGUGUUUGAAAUCAUGUUGCCAUGGUAACAAUAUGUUAUAUGGCAAGAAUUAGGCAAAAAUCUUGGGGUUUGAACUACUUCAUCAAUAUUUAACAAAUUCUCAUGAUAUUUUGCUCACACCUCUCGGGGUAAAGAUGGGCAAGACAUAUUUUUUCCAUGUGUUGGAAACUGUUGCCAUGGUAACAGUGUAGGUUGAGGUAUCAAUCACCUUCAGUGAUAGUUCUAGUUAUUAUUAUCAUCAUCAUCGUACUUAAUCAUUAGUCUUUGUAAAAAAAGUAAGUUUCAAUUUGAUUGAGAGGAGCCAGAAAAACUAUAUUAAAGACAGAUAUAUGCAUAUUCCAGUUGUACCAUGUGAACAGGUGUCAAAUCAACUUUCAUAUUGGGCAACAAAAUGAUCAACACCAUUUCUCUCAAGUCAACUGACCAAAUCAUGGUCCUUUGAGAACAUUACAGACUAUCAAACAAACAAGAAAUCAGAGAUCGACAAUUUUAUGAAUGUCUCACAUAUAGGGGGUCGGACGUACAUUAUUUAUGGAAUUGCCCUAUUGAAAUAAUGCAAUAAAAGUUAAACGUUUUUAGCAUUCCUUCAUUAUGAACUGUUUGCAAAAAUUCUGUAAAUCAAAAUGAAUGAAAACUCUCUUUAGAUAUAGAAUAUGUGCAUGGUCUUAGUAAAUAAAGUGCUAAGCAUUCUUUUACUAUUGGGUUAUACAUAUGAUUACUCCUAAUUAUGUUGUGUUGUUUAAUCUUAUUUUGUGUGUAUAGGCUCAUGUAUUCUGGAAAGAAAAAUAUACCUUUCUUUUGAAUUAUAGUCAUGAUAUUCUUUUAUUCAUAUUUACCAUGAUUAAGUUUGAUAUUUUAUUGAUGACAAUCAGGAGGAUGUUCAUUUUAAAUGAGAAUUGUUAGUUUCAUUUAUCUUACAAUAUCUUGAAGGUAAGCAUGGUGGGGGAGGCGUCCAAAUUGGUGUAAAGAUAUCACAAUGGUUUGUAGUCCAUUGUUGGCAGUUACAUGUAUAUGUAUCUACCAUCUCUGAGCACAAGUGUGCUUUAGAAGGACAUUAAAAGUGAUAUUUGCUUGUCUCCUUAGAGAUAUUAUAGUGAUCAUCAUGGGACUGAAUACUCCAUAUAUUGUAGAGAGGAGUACAGUACAUGUAUAUAUACAUUCACAUUCAAUUCCUGCAUUUUGCAAGCAUGAAGUUUUGCUUUUAUUAAAGAGCUUAGGGAUAUGUUAAGGUCAAAAUUAAUUUUAGUAAAUUAAGUAGUCAAUAGGUUAAUUGAGAUGUAAGUAAUGAUUGUCUUUAUGGUAGAUAUGUUUGAUGAGUCUUCAGAGCCUUGUUGGAUCUUCGUGCCUUGGAUAAUUCAGCCAACCAUUUCAUUCUUGAUAUCACUUUACAAGCAUCACUAUAUAUAUUCAAUUUGUGUUAAGUUUUAUACUGUUGUAAAUGUACAGAGGUGAGCAUAAUUUUAAUGGGCCAUUGUAUUGUAUGAUUAUAAUCAAUGGUAAAUUGUAUAUUUAGAUAUUUGUUUUUCUAUAAUCAAAGUAUGGCAUAUUAAAACCCUAAUGUGUGUUGGUGUGCCCUUAGGAUGGCAGUGGUUUCUUGUUUGAAGCUUGUCAUUAGCAUAACAAAAUAAAAGUCAAUCCUAGCAUUGGUCAAAAAGUAAUAUUUGUCUGCUCACCUGUGCAUGACUUGCACAGAACUUGAUAAAAAAAAAAGAAACUGUAUGAACAAGGAUUUCUACCAAAUUAUUUUGCUCAUGCCUUUAAAAGUGUUUAUUUUUUAUUAUUUGUUUUUAAUUUUUUUUUUUUUUUUUUUUUUGGGGGGGGGGAAUCAUUUUCAAUGGUACAUGUAUUUUUUACAACUGCUGAUACUGAAAGUGGUAGUAUAAAGAAACUAUAACUUUGAUUUCACGAAUUGCUGUUGUAUUUCAUUGAAUGUGGAUAAUGAAAUAUCAGAAGAUUACUGAAAAAUAUAAUACAUUUUUGCAGAACUGGGUUAGAAACCAGCUAGCUGCUCAUUGUUUGAAAUUAGGUCUUUAAAAAAGUCAUACAGUGUAGUUAACAUGUUUUUUGAAAUUAUAAUUUGAUUUGCGUUUGUUACCUAUAUUAUACUUAUGCUGGUAUAGGAGUUAACAUAAUUGCCCAUUACUUACACAGGCUAGUGAUUAGAGUAGGCCUAGGGAGCACGUAAGUCUGUUUGACAAGUGCAAGUCAAGAUUAUUCAGAUAUCCCAUACUGGUCUUGGUCUUGCAUGUAAUACUCAGAAUAUUCCAGUCAAUAAUGGAAAUAUAUAUAUUAAAGUUGAAACAUAUGAACAGUGACAUGUCUGUGUGCUGUUGGUUGUAAAUAUUCUUGAAUCAGUCAUUAUAACAGCAUGCAUGUGUACUUUAUCAAUUUUUAGAUUGAUUAUUCUAGGUGUCUUUCACAGAUAUCAAAUUAUUUCCAGCUUGCCAUAAAGAAAAAUGUUUAAGAAUUAAUAUGUAGUUGGUAGCAUUUUGAUGUCAUUAAAUGAUUUGCUUUAGUAAUCAAAAAGAUGUUUGUAAUCAAAACUAACUGAAAUAAAUGUGACAAUGAGUGAAUGAGAAAUUGGCCAGAUUAACCCUAACUAGGCUGGGUUAGGGUCUCAUAAUCCCCCCCCCCCCUCCCUCAAAGUUUAGUGUGAAUUAAUUCUACCUUUCUAAAAACCAUAGGGUUAGGGUUUCUAACCAUCAUAUUAGGAUGUUUAUGUAUGGAUUUAGAUCACCCCCCCCCCCCCGAUUUCACAAUAUUACAUUGAUAUAAUAGUAUCAAUUUAAAAAAAAAGGAAAUGUAGAGUUUUGUAGCUUAUGCUAUGGGCAAAAUGUGUGCUGAUCCUUUCAAAAAGCCAAUUGUGUGGUAAUCAUUAUAAUGUACCAAAUAGCUGGGCUUUAUUAGGGUUAAACUUUGCCACUUUCUCUUUUUUUAUUUGGUGAAACAGAUGAGAAAAUUAAUCUAUGAUCAGGACAAAAUAUUCAGUGUUUUUGUAAAUUAUGUUAUAUAGCAUGAAAUGCAAGAUGGUGUUUGUAACAAAUGUGUUGUAUUGUAAUUGGUAGUGUGUCAAAUUGAUGAAAAUAUAGGGGAAUUACAGGGAGGCUCUUGGCUGAACAUAGUUACAUCUUAAUACAGUAAAAUUCACUGGGCAAAAUGCUGAAAAUUUCAUCAAAAUCUGAUCACAAAUAAUGAAAUGUAAAGUUUAGCAAAACAGUUUAAUGCCCAUUGUCAUGAAUAUUCGUUAGGUGGACUGGCCACAAUACACUUUAGCUUUUAUGUUACAUGUAUUAAAUGAAAUCACAAUUAUUUCAUUUUUUCAUACAUGUGUUGAUGUCUCUGUUGUAUCAAUAAUAUGUUACUGCUGUGAAUAUCUAAUUCAGUUUUCAGUCCAUUUUAAUAAGCGUAAUUUCAUGUAGUACAAUACAAAAGCACAAGUAGGAAUUUGACAUCAGUUUGCUCAUUGAAUAUUCAUGAAUACAUGCCUAGAACUGUUUCAUCAAAAUAAUGCAAAUCUUUAAAAUGCUGUAACAGUGCUAUGCUUUGUCCAGUUUUGAUGUCAUUUUCAGUGUUUUGUUUGUCUGAUUUAUAUUAUUUUCAGCCAGAAGUACCCCUUUAAAACAAUCUGAUGUAGUGAACAGAGGAUAAAAUACAUAUAUUUUGACAUGUUGACAUGUUUUUCUUUUAUUGCAAUUUUUGCGUGGAAUUAGAAAAAUUUGCUGUGAUAUCUUGGCAUAAAGCAUCUCUUUGGUGAAAAAAAUUACAUAGCAGCUGGAAAUCAUUAUAUUUCUAUUUUAAGGACUUUUGUAUAUAAUGAGGUUUAUGAGGAAUUGUCUACGUGGUCUGUUUUAAUUUUUUUUAUGUCAAUGUUAAUCAUAUUCUUAAGUAGAAAAUAAUUUGAGUACUUUGGAAAUACUUUUAACCUGUUUUUAUCAGCUGUAUACAACAUCACAAACCUAUAUGAUGCAGACUUGUUUUAACUUAAGAUAAAAAGUUUAUUGUGUAACAAUUCAAACAAUUGAUGGUAUUCCAGAAUACAAAAUGUUUUAAAAAGCUUAAAAGGAAUGGAAUUGUUAUUACUUUAACCAUUAUUGUAUCGUUGCACAAAUCAAUUGAUUGGUCAUUUUCCAAAGUACAACAAAGUAUUUUUUUGGGUAUAAUUGAUUUAUCAUCAAGUUUAUUUUUUAAAGUUUCAAAUCGCUAUUACAGGUAUGUAUUUAUACAUUAAUAUUUCUAUAAUCAUUCUGCUGCAUUUGAAAUGAAAAAAAACUAUAGCAAUGCAGACCUCUCAACAUUUCUGAAAGAAAAGUAGGGAGGAUUUUUCUGUAAAAAAGAAGAAGUUAUAUUAUCCUGAAAAAAAAUUGUAUUAAAAGGAAGUGAGAAUCAUAUUAACGUGUAUCCAAUAUGCAGUGUGGUCAAGGUACCAAUUUUCAUCAGAAAAUGGGGAUAUGUGGAUCCUUAUCAUAUGAUUGGCUGAACUCAAUCACAUGACCAACCAUUUAUUCUAAUAUCUAACAGGAAAAUGAUCUGAUUGGAUCCAAUGACUAGUUCGUAUAACGGUCAUGGUUUUGAGAUGAGGAUGGUUUUUAUCAAAUAACAAAAAUCAAACAGCACUGCAUUAACAAAAUACACAUUGUUUUGCUUGGGGUUUAGAAUGAUAACACACACUUGUUACCUUUGAAUCAGUCCAAAUGCCCUCGGCUAUGCUUCGGGCGUGUUAGAACUGCUCCAAAGGUACCUCAUGCGUUUGAUUCUUACUAAUGAUCUUGAUGAUGUGUAUUUUAUGUAUAUCAUUAGCCUGGUUCCAUGAUAUUCACUCCGGCGACAAUUUCUCCGCUAUAAAAUCCACAAACAACUAGAAUGGCCGACUUCAAUCCUGGAUUUAACACUAUAUCCUAUCCCAAACCUAACAUAGAACCCUAUUGCAACCCUUACCCUAUAUUUCAGACAAAAUAAAGCCCAGAGCAAUUGUCGCCAGAGCAACUGUCGCGUUACCUAUUAGCCUCGCAUAAGAACGGAUGCCAUCCAAGUACCAUCGCACCUGUUGCAUUUCAAGUAUACUACACUGGUCAAAAUAAACCUUAUGCAUACUAUGUCAUAAUCUCAAAGCGCCCUCCCUCAGAGGAUAUAGUAAUACAUGUAAACAGAGUUGUCAGAUAUGCGCCAGCUUUAGAUCACCAAUGCAUGCAGGACAAUGGCUUCAGCCUCUAAGAUAGUGGCGCAAUGAUGUCAGUGCAUAAAAGAUCUAUUAGAAUUCUAUUUUCUGAAUUCAGAAUGGUUGAAAGGUCUGUGAAGCCUAGUAUGAUGUUUCUUGAUGUUUGUCUAAUUUCACAUUUUUUAGAUUUAAGAUCACCACACAAUAUUCAGUGUCUUGGAUGUUCUUGACUUGCAACUAUCAUUGUAAUCAACAUCCAUGGUAGUAAACCUGAAAUAUAAUUUUAAUGUGUUAGCCGUACAAUUAGCAGUGUUACUAAGUUACUCAGGCAAGCUUCUUGUAAACAUAAGAUUUGCACUGGCAACGUUGGAUGCAAGAUUAUACUCCAUACAGGGCCAUUCAGAAAGUGCCGGCUGUUUUCUUCAGUUUUCUGAUGUGCAAAUUGGAACAAUUCCAAUAUUUGGCAAAAUGGGGGUGUGCCUCCCCCCCCCCCUCAAUUCAUGCAUUUUCUGUAAAAGUUAACUACCCAUGUUAUUUGUAUAUUGAAACUUUUUUUUUAAAUAUCGGUGAUGUAAACCGAUUUGUGACUACCACUCAACAACCAACAAACCGGUGCCUUGAAGUUUCUUCGUCAAUAGCCAAAAUAGUAAUUUGGACAAACUAAAUAUGAAUUAGUUUAUCUCAUAGAGUACUCUUUCUUUGACACCAUUUUUUCUGGACUACAUGUAUGUGCACAUAUCAUGCUCCAGUGAGCCCUAAACUGCAAACUUCAUUUUCAGAUGUUUUGAAGCCUCUCACUGAAUUAGUCCUGCUUUAAUCAAGUACUUUCUGGGUGAUGUUGAUCAAUUUUGACAAGAAAUAUAAUUAUACACUGUAUAAUUUCAAGGCUUAUGAAGUGCUUUUACUAGAUCAAUAAAUAUCUCAAAAUUCAUUUCGGGUGACUUAUUGUUGGUUUAGGGGUGGCAGGUCACAAAGCAGCCACUAAAAAAAAAUAAUUCACAACAAUUACACAGAAUAUUGUUUAAACGUAAUUCAAGGCAUUCAUAUCUUUGCCAGAAAUGGUUAAAUUUGAUGAACCAUCAGCUUGUGCAGAAUCAAUUAAUUCAUCAGCUCAACUUCUAUAUUUUUCAUGAAGCAUACUACUCAGACAAUGUAAUCUUAUGUGUUUUCUUUCAAUUAAAAUAUUAAUUCACUAGAUGUA